GACGUAGGGGGCGAGCGUUGUCCGGAUUUAUUGGGCGUAAAGCGCGCGUAGGCGGCCAAGUGUGUCGGAUGUGAAAUCCCACGGCUCAACCGUGGAAGUGCAUUCGAAACUGCUUGGCUGGAGUUUCGGAGAGGAAGGCGGAAUGCUUGGUGUAGAGGUGAAAUUCGUAGAUAUCAAGCAGAACACCUGUGGCGAAGGCGGCCUUCUGGACGAUGACUGACGCUGAGGAGCGAAAGCCAGGGGAGCAAACGGG
rnacentral:rRNA from 1 species